rnacentral:rRNA from 1 species
UACGUAGGGGGCAAGCGUUGUCCGGAUUCAUUGGGCGUAAAGAGCUCGUAGGCGGUUCAGCAAGUCGGGUGUGAAACCUCCAGGCUCAACCUGGAGACGCCACCCGAUACUGCUGUGACUUGAGUCCGGUAGGGGACCACGGAAUUCCUGGUGUAGCGGUGAAAUGACGCAGAUAUCAGGAGGAACACCGGUGGCGAAGGCGGCGACCUGGUCCUUGACUGACGCUGAGGCGCGAAAGCGUGGGGAGCAAACAGG